ACAUGCUGACUCUAUAAACCGCUUAAAGAAGGCUAUAAAGCACUGUGAAGUGCUAUAUAAGUCUAAUUGCUAUUGCUAUCUUUCCAUUUUUGAUAAAAUACUGCAUGCUAUUUUUGUUUUUAUGCCGUGUUGGUUAUUAUUUUUGCUGGUUUUGAUGCUGCAAGUAGUCCUGCCAAUUUUUAUAUUUAUACUGAAAUACAAGAAGAUACAUAUGAGCACACCUUUAUAAUGAAAAUAUUUUCCAGAAUCAGUCCAUUGAAAAUGCAUUCAUAAGGCUUUCCUGCUUACCCUAGUGCAGGAAUAGCCACUGUUUCUUGGGCUCAGAAAUGUGCCCUGGCAUUGUCAAUUUGUCCUGUCAAUUUGCCCUGGCAACUACAAAUGAAACUUUGCAUUUGUAUUGUUUUCCUGACUUUUUUUUUUUAAAAAAAAGCUGAAAUUGCCUAGAGCUCUGCCAGCUUCUCCUAAAAGGAGAAACAUCUACUCAAAAAUAGACUGGGGGGGCGGGAAGUAGCAUUUUCUUCACAACACAGGUGGGAAAGAUUUUUUUAAAAAAGGGAAAUCGACCAGGUCAGGGCUAUAGCCACCAUGUUCAGUAUCAUUGAAAAAGCUGAAGGCUACUUUUUCUAAGCUUUUCAGCAGAGAGAAACACAUUUCCUCGCCCGGCGCUUUUAUGUGCAGUCUGAAAUCAACCGAAAGGCCAGCUUGUUUAACAAGACCUUCCUGUUUAAAGGCUAACCCUGCAGACCUCAUCACCUCGGCAUCACCCCACGGCUUUGUGCAGCCCGUUGCCUCAGGCAGAGAAUCGGGCAUCUCCGUCUUCCCCCAGCGGCUCCGGGGAAGUGAAAGACUUCCCCAAUAAACAUUUUGCAACGUUAACCCUUUGCAAGGUAUUACAGCCCGACAGCUGAAAGGCGUCGAUCCGCACGUCGCGCCACGUCCGUUAAACCCACCGCAAAGCGUUUAAACCCGCAGCGCGCCCUUCGCAAACUACCCACCCAGGUCUCUGCGGCAUCCUGAGCGCCUCGGGUCCGAUCGAGGGGGACCUCCCGCCACCUAAAUCGGGGAAGACUUAUGCGCGCAGAUGCCCGGGCACGUGAAACUACUUAUUAUACUUGUUACUUUCUUCGCUUGGAAUUUGUCUUUGGCUUUCAUUUAGUACAAAGGAGGAAACCUGUUUAGAACUUACGUAUAAGUAUAUUUUGGACAAAAUUCUGGAAAAUACGAAGAAGAUAAUUGCUUGCACAAAGGAGAUUUCUUUACAUCGACAAGGUAAAGCACAAGGAUUAAAUGAAACAGCAGUUUAUGUUCAAGAGACUUAUUCUCAGUUCACUGAGAUGGAGGAAGCAAAUUCACAGUCAGACUAUUAAUUGAUAUUGGAAAAAAGACUUGAUAUUAAUGAACAAAUGACUUAUAAUAAAGAAUUGAAGAUUUUACCUCAGAAGGACAAGCUGACUUGCAGACACCAUUUGAUUCUCUGAUAGAGAAAAAACUGUUGGAAGAAAAGCAAAACCUGACUAAAGAGGAAGAUACUAAAAAAAUGAUUUCAACUAAACCUUAUGCAAUCUUUAAAAAGAUGGGAAAUGAUGUUCUGCCACAAGCUAUUUAGAAUAGCUCCAACCCUUAUAUUAACCUAAUAAAAUGUACAAUGGGAAUCUCCCUUUUGGUGUGUACAAUGUGGCAGGCGAUAAUGGGAGAGCUAUUUGUGGAAAUAGAGGCUCGACUAUGGAAACCUAUUUACAAUAGAAAGAAACACAGAAUAAGAUAUAAAUAUAAAAUUUGAGAUUAUAAUUAUGAGUGGUAAAGGUUUUAUAGUGACUCGGAUUGGUUUGGAUUUGGAAUUUGUCAAAAGGGAGACCAUUAUGAAAUGAUUUAGAACUUAAUAUUGAAAUUCAGCAAGAAUAAGUUCUUCUUUUUUUCCUUUUUUUUUUUUUAAGAAUGAUAGAUUAUUUUUUUCUCUUGGUUUAUCCAUGUCUUUUUCUCUUUGGUAUAAUUUUUUUUUCUUUUCUUCUUUGCUUUUUCUUUUUCCUUUUCUUUUUUUACAUGUUCUUAAUAUUAGAGAUGAUAUAAUGAGAAAAAGAUUGAAAUACUGGAAGAGAUGGAAUUAAUAAUUAGAGAAUUAUUGAAAAAGAAAAGAAUAUAAGUGAGAAAUAUAAGAAUUUAGCUUUGGAAUUAAUAUUUUAAAAUAAGAGAAUAUUUGGGGCACCUGAAUAGUAAAUAAAUAUGCUAGUUUAAGAUUAAAUAUUUGAAAAAAUAAAGCGUAAAACAGGAUCUUUGGGAUAGAUAAUGAAUUUUUGUAAACUUUUAUUAAUGAAAUUUACAUGCAGCAAUAUAUUUAAUGAAAAUUUGUUUUGAAGUAGUAUCAAUGAGAUUUUAAUAAUUUAGAGAGCGUUUAUAUUUAAGCGUUUUAGAUGUAGCGAUAUAUUAAUGAAUUGAUUUUAGAAAUACAUUAAUCUGAUUAUAAUAUCUUAAAUAAAUGGAGAGUUUUAGUUUAAGUUUAUGUGAAAAAUUAUAGGUUUGUAUAGAAUAGAUAUUGGGCUGUUAAUUUUUUUUAUUGAUUAAUGGAACUUACGUUUAGAUACAUUAAUGAAUUUAUUUGAGAAAUGUAUUAAUUUGAUUAUAAUAUCCUAUAUAGAUAGAGAGGGAAAUUUUAAGAAAUAUUGUGUAUAUAUUUACAAUGUUAUUGUUUUUAAUGGAUCACCAUAUCUCCACGUUGGUUCUCAAGCCUUGGUGUAAAAUGGAAAACUAAUAAAAAAUUGUUAUAAAUAUAAAAAA